rnacentral:rRNA from 1 species
AGAGUUUGAUCCUGGCUCAGAAUGAACGCUGGCGGCGUGCUUAACACAUGCAAGUCGCACGAGAACGCUUUAGCUUGCUAGAGCUAGUAAAGUGGCGCACGGGUGAGUAACGCGUGGGUAAUCUACCCCUGAAUUUGGGAUAACGUUGCGAAAGCGACGCUAAUACCGGAUGAUAUCCUGGUAACUUCGGUUAUUGAGAUCAAAGGUGGCCUCUACAUGUAAGCUACUGUUUGGGGAUGAGCCCGCGUACCAUUAGCUAGUUGGUAGGGUAAAGGCCUACCAAGGCGACGAUGGUUAGCUGGUCUGAGAGGAUGAUCAGCCACACUGGAACUGACACACGGUCCAGACUCCUACGGGAGGCAGCAGUGAGGAAUUUUGCGCAAUGGGGGAAACCCUGACGCAGCAACGCCGCGUGAGUGAUGAAGGCCUUCGGGUCGUAAAGCUCUGUCAAGUGGGAAGAACCUACUUAUGGUUAAUACCCAUGAGUACUGACGGUACCACUGAAGGAAGCACCGGCUAACUCCGUGCCAGCAGCCGCGGUAAUACGGGGGGUGCAAGCGUUAUUCGGAUUUACUGGGCGUAAAGCGCGCGCAGGCGGUUUUGUAAGUCAGAUGUGAAAGCCCUGGGCUCAACCCGGGAAGUGCAUCUGAUACUGCAAGACUUGAGUAUGGGAGAGGGAAGUGGAAUUCCUGGUGUAGAGGUGAAAUUCGUAGAUAUCAGGAGGAACAUCGGUGGCGAAGGCGACUUCCUGGACCAAUACUGACGCUGAGGCGCGAAGGCGUGGGGAGCAAACAGGAUUAGAUACCCUGGUAGUCC